rnacentral:lncRNA from 1 species
GGUACGACUACACGCGCGCGCAGAGAGCCAUCGACGCGGGGCUGCUCGCGUUCGCGACGAAGGAGUACGCGACGGGGAAGAAGCACUUCGAAGACGCGCUGCGCGUUUCGCCGAGGGACCCGAACGCGGCGAAUAACCUCGCGGUGGCGCACGUGUACGUCGGCGACCUCGCGGGCGGGGUGAAGGUUUUAGAGCGCGCGAUGACGACGGACGUCACCGCGAACGCGCAGAAGGAGUCGCUCGCGACGAACUUGUGUUCGAUGUACGAGCUGCUCGCACCGGAGCCGGUCGUCGCGAAGCGGG